GAUGAACGCUGGCGGCGUGCCUAACACAUGCAAGUCGAGCGUGAUUAAAUGGAUUGGAGAGCUUGCUCAAAGAGAAAUUUAUGAAAGCGGCGGACGGGUGAGUAACGCGUGGGCAACCUGCCCUGUGCAGGGGGAUAGCCACUGCAAACGGUGAUUAAUACCCCAUGGAGCUAUCGAGUCGCAUGACUUGAUGGUGAAAGUUCCGGCGGCACAGGAUGGGCCCGCGUCUGAUUAGCUAGUUGGUGAGGUAACGGCUCACCAAGGCGACGAUCAGUAGCCGACCUGAGAGGGUGAACGGCACACUGGAACUGAGACACGGUCCAGACUCUACGGGAGCAGCAGUGGGAAUAUUGCACAAUGGCGCAAGCCUGAUGCAGCAACGCCGC
rnacentral:rRNA from 1 species